rnacentral:rRNA from 1 species
GACGAACGCUGGCGGCGUGCUUAACACAUGCAAGUCGAACGGAAAGGCCCUGCUUGCAGGGUGCUCGAGUGGCGAACGGGUGAGUAACACGUGGGUGAUCUGCCCCUUACUUUGGGAUAAGCCUGGGAAACUGGGUCUAAUACUGGAUAGGACCAUGCUGUAGGUGGUGUGGUGGAAAGAUUAGUUUCGGUAAGGGAUGAGCUCGCGGCCUAUCAGCUUGUUGGUGGGGUAAUGGCCUACCAAGGCGUCGACGGGUAGCCGGCCUGAGAGGGUGGACGGCCAAAUUAGGACUGCGAUACAGCCCCAACGCCUACGGGAGGCAGCAGUGGAGAAUAUUGCACAAUGGGCGCAAGCCUGAUGCAGCGACGCCGCGUGGGGGAUGACGGCCUUCGGGUUGUAAACCCCUUUCAGCCAUGACGAAGCCCUUGUGGUGACGGUAGUGGUAGAAGAAGCACCGGCUAACUACGUG